GCGCGCUGGAUGGCGUUUUUGUCACAAUGGAGUCUUUAUCCGGAGAGUUCCAUUGGAAACAAAGGAGGAGCGGACGCGGUGGAGAGAAGUCGCCCAGUGCCCGGUCCGGCCCGGCUCGGCUCCCGCAAGCAUUGCAGUGCUAUCGGGGGGUGGGGGGGACGGGGACUCGCACUCCGCGCUCUUCUCGCUACGUGCUGCUGCUGCUGGGCUUGUGUCGCACCGGUUCAAAUCACUACUGAAUCAUUAUGCACUGCCUACUGAAGAUUGGUUUAAAUUGGCAUGGGGCUGCCACCAUUCCUGAGCCAAUGAAGCUGCCUUCAGCACCACCUAUUACUCCAUUGCAGUUAAGUACAGACAGGUGGAGGAAUUGCUGUUUUUUCAGGGGGUGGGAGAAGAAUCUGGAUGACUCUAAUUAUCUUUUGAAGAUGUUGAUAAGCCAGCUUCAUAAACUACUGCAGUCUUUCUGGUGAAGCUACUCCCACAGGGCUUUUGGGGACAAAAUAUUUCCAAGUCAGGAUAGUGCAACUUGGAGGAGAAUAUGCAGUUGCUAGUGUUUCUGUGCUUAAGUCUUGCCUUCCUUGGUGGAGUCCAUGGAUUUGAGAGAUGCUGUCAGAGGAACUGCAACACAUUUUGUAGGUAGCGUACACUGCAGCCAAAUACGCCCUGAGGAUGGAGUCAAUUAAUGGGGUACCAGUUAGGUAGGCAUCUUUGUCAUGGAAGAUGUCGUGCUGCUUGAGUGUUGGAGCUGCAGUCACCCAGGCAAGAGGAGAAUAUUGCACCAGAUGCAAAGUUUUUGGAGUUUCAAGAGGUGCCAUUUCCACAGAAUAUGAUCUGUUUUUGUAACAAGAGUGUGUAUGUAGUUGGUCCAGAUGAGAUUCUGGUCAGUGGAGAUCUCCAGGAUAUUACCGGUGGAGAACUCGGUGACAGUGGCACUAUUUGAAUGUCAAGGAUAGAUGAUUAUCCUCUCUGGAGAGGAUAUUGUUUGGCAUGUGUGGUGUGGUUGUUACUUGUCACUUAUUUCCUGUUUGAAUGUAGUCUAAAUCUUACUGCUCACAGGCAUGGGCUGGUUGUGCUGAGGAAAUGUGAACUGAGGAGAACGUUGUGCAGUCAUCAGCUAACGCCCCAUUUCUGACAUUGUGGAUGGAAGGUCAUGGUUGACAUAACUGAAUGUGGGCCUGGGCCACUGCACUGAGGAACUCCUGCAGUGAUGGCCUUGGAAUAGGAUGACUGAUCUCUGAAAACGACAAUCUUCCUUUUGUGAUGGGUUCAUUCCCAACCAGGGGAAUGUUUUCCUUUCAUGCACUUUGACUUCAGUUUUACUAGAUGAAAACCUGAGAAAACUGAAAAUGCUAGAUAUACUCAGCAGGUUAGGCAGCAUUUGUGGAAAGAAAAAAAAAACAGUUAAUGUUUCCGGUCAAAAGAUUUGAAUGUUUCUGAUAAAGGUUCUUCGAACAGAAAAUUAAUUGUUUCUUGUCAGAGAAGCUGCCUGACCCCUUAUGUGUUUUGUUUUUAUUUUAUUUUACAAGGGCUCUUUGAUGUCACACUUAGUUAAAUGCUGUCUCAAGGUUGAGGACAGUUACUCUCACUUCACCUUUGGAAUUCAGCUUGUUCCAUAUUUGGACCAAGGCUAUGAUGUGGUCUACAGCUGAAUAGGCCAGGCAAAACACCAACUGGGCAUUGGUGAGUAAGUCCACCUUAAUGGCACCUUUGGCAUCUUUCAUCAGUUUGUUGAUGAUUGAGAGCAAACUGAUUAGGUGGUAAUUGGAUACGAAUUCUGCUAUGUGAACAGGGCCCACCUGGGCAAUGUUCCUCAUGGUCAGGUAGAUGCCAAUAUUGUAGCUGUACUAGAACAGUUUAGUUGAAAAUGUGGCUAGUUUUGGAGUGCAGGGCUUCAGUACCACAGCUGAGAUGCUGUCUGGUCCUAGAGCUUUGUUGUAUCUAGUGUAUUUUCCAGAAGUGUCUUUUGAAGGUCAAAAAAUUAUAAUGAAUAGAAUAGUGCUUUGUGCACUCCAAAGAGAAUAUUUUCAAACAUUUUUGUUAAAAUGUGAUUGGAUACUUUCUGUGCAGGUAGUGAAGAUCUUAAAAUUGCUUCCAGGUCCUUUAUGCACCUGGUCAUGUGAUUGAAGUCCACCAACAUUUGAUGUAAUUUAAAAUUGCAUUGUACAUGUGUGAUUCACAGAUGGCAAGGGCCAUUCAUACAGAAGCAGGUCUUCACAAGGCUUCAAAUAAUCUUAAAGGAGACCUGCCUGAUUAGGUCCAUACAAUCUCUGGAAGAUCCUCCUGCAUGAAGUUCUCAUUAAACCUGACCCUUGUAUCACCCACCCCUUGCCACCUCAGUCUUUUUCCACCUGCUUGCCACUCUUUCCUUGAUCCUUUAGAGGUUCCUUUUAUUUCCUACUGAACCCUAUCCCUGACUCGUAAUCCAACACUUAGCAAAUUAUGAUGGUUUUAGCUCUGGAUUCUACUCCAUAUUCAACCUUCAGUAUCCUGAAGAAUAGAAUUUUGCAGUAGUUCUAGGGGUGGCUAUUGGAAAGUGUGCAUUGGGCCACCACAUGUCAUUGCCUUUGUCUUUCCUGCCACAGAACAUUUUCUAGACUUGAGUAUUUUAUGUUGUUUCAUCCUUAACAUUUAUUACAAGCUAUGGAAAGACAGUAUGGUAUUACAAUUUUGCAAAUUACAAACUUGUAACAAACAUAAAUUGUUAGAGUAAAAACUAUUAAUAAUUCAACUUUUACUCUGAAUACAAGAAGACAACAUAACUAGUUAAUAACAAGCAAUAUUCAUUUGCCUGUUUUUAACUGUGGUGAUACUUUAAUUGAGAGGUAUGGUUAAAAUGUUGAGGAUAUACUUCAAUGGACAAUAUUUUCUUAUUUAAUUGCUAAGAAAAUAAUUCACGAUUCCAUAUUCAGAACAAAAAAAUAUGCAUUUUAAAAAAAACUUUUUCCCUGGGAUCUCAUAACACAUUGCAUCAUUUUACAGCUGAGCAAAGGUAGUUGACAUUGAUUAGAUGACUAGUUAGUGCAGAAUAGGCCCAUGGAAAUCAACCAUUUAAUUUCCUUUUGUUUAAAAAGUCUUUGGCCUCUGCACUUUUCCAUUAUACUCUUGCCCCAUGACACAACUGAAAACUUGCUAUAAAGGGGAUUUUGGGUGCAAAUUUGCAUCAUAUUACACUGUGGUUAUAGAGGCAGUGCUUUCUUACUAUCUUGUGAAGGAUGGUUGUAGUCCACCAAUCAUUCUGGAGGACUUUAAUUUGUUAAUUGCUUACCUUUUGUUAUACUCCAUAGUAACUGAACAUGGAUUUUGUAGUAACAAUGUACAAGAAAAAAGUAGUAAGUUGAGCAUUCCAUUGCAGUCUAUAAUUUGUGAUGCAAUGUCAUAGUUUGGAAUGAUGGCAAAAUAUCCAUAAUGCUGAAAAGGAUGGAUUGCAUUCGACAUCUUAUUUGAUGACUCCAAAAAUGAUGGGUAAUCAAAGGUAAUCUCUUGUUUUUCCUCUACCCCUCUGGCAGUUAAGAUGUAGCUCAUUUUACAACUAUGCUCUCCAAUCAUAUUGAGCUGGAAGUUUAAAUGGUGUAAAACAAAACUACUGCCUUUUAACUGUACUUGCAGUUACAGAAUGUCCCAAAGUGGAUCAACAUUCAAAUGUUUUAGGAACUUUCCACAAUGCGUUAGGGUUGUGUUAUUAUGGAUGUAAUUAUAAAACUAAACUAUUUGAAACUUGUUGGUAUAAUUACCUGAUGGAUUUGCAAUUGUGCAGUUCUGUAAGAUGGCAGUUAUGUAAAUAACUUGCAAAAAAAAAACCCCAAACUGGUAUAUUUCAAGUAUCUAAGCAAGAAUUUUGUUAAUUUUUCUCCUCUUGCUUAGUGCCACCAUCUUUUUAGCUCAAAUGCAAUUUAAUUUUCAAUACUAAACCUGCAAACAUUGGCUAUUGAGUUGCUUCAUUGAUUAAAUAAUACCAGGCUUAGAAUAUUAACAGUAAAAUUAUGCUGCUGAAAAAUUAGUGGAUUUACAACAUUCCGUAAGAAGCAUUAAUUUCUUGUUAAUUUAAAUCCACAAUAUUACUGCUUAAAAACUCUUGGAAGAGCAAAAUUCACAAUUUUGAAAAGAAAUGUUCCAUUAAGUUUAAUUGUCUUGCAUUCACUCUUAUCUUCCCAAUAUAUUUUUCACACAUCAAAUAUGUAGUAUCAAAUGUUGCUUCUCCUUGUAUGAACACAUCUAUUCAGUAUAAUUUCCUGAGGAAUUCAAAUUUGUAUUGAAUUCACAAAAAAAAAGUUGCAGGAUCUGUUCAUCAGGAAAAUAUUAAGUAUUUAGUUUUAAACUAAACUUUCCAAUCCCAAACAGGUUUAAUUUAUCCUUUGAUUUGGAAGAAUUGGGAAAGAUGAAUGGAAUCUUGAUACUUAGUUUCAAAAUAUUGCAUAAGUAGUGCUAGCUUUUUUGCUGUUUAAUUAAACAGAUUAUGGUAUUUUUAUAAAGAUAACUUCUAUAAUUGAAUUUCAUAAUGGCUGAUGUAUGACCAUGUUAAAGAGAGAGCUUAAUGUUAUAAAUGGGAAUCUACAGAGAAUUAAGGAUGUGCCUUGAAACUAUCAUCUUUCAGUUUGGAAAAAGACAGUAAAUAUUUCAAGUCACUGAUAUUUGUACUGGAUGUUCCCAGAGUUGGAAACUGAAGGAAGAUUUGGCUUUUAAAAGCUUGAUGGUCCAAAGAAGAAUGGAAAUUGAAGGCAGGCUGCAUCAUUUUUACAUACAAUGCAGAAGGAAGACAUUUGCCCACAUCAGUCAAAAAAUUAAGUCAUUUGGUUAACUUCUACUUCUAGUUGUUCAAAUGUUCAUCUGGGGAUUUAUUCCAAAUGCAAUGAGUUUCUGCCUUUGCCAACCCUUUGGACGAUUAAUUCUAACCCCUGACAAUGCUAUAAGUGCAUGAAAACACUCAGCAGGUCAGGCAGCAUCUGUAGAAAGAGAACCCAUUUGUAUUUCAGAUUGAAAACCCUUCAUCUCUUGCUGAAAUUUCUUUGAUUUUUUUUUUCCCCCUCUAAUCCUUUUACCAAUCAACUUAAAUGUGUCUCUCUGUUAACAACCUCUUUCAGAGAAAUUGGUCCUUCCUGUUUACUUUGUCCAGAUGUCUCAUAACUUAGUACAUCUUUAUUAAAUUUUCCUUUGCUCUCCUUUCUUCCAUUGCAAACAACUCAAGCCUGGUCAAUUUCUCCUCAACAGUAUUUCUCAAUGAGAUCCUUAAAUCUCCUGUGCACCUCUUCUAAUAUAUAUUUGCAUCCUUGUAGUGUGAUAAUUAGAAUUGCUGUGCUGUGACUAGUGUCAUGGAGUUCUAACCUUUUUUUAGUUCUUCUGUGCUGUGCCUCAGCUGACAAUGGCAAGUAUCUUGUGACCUAAUCACUUUUACAUUCAUACAAUGGACAUGAACUCCUCUACACUUCUUGGAACAUUUAAUAGACAUUUCCUUUCAUUGUUUGUCCUCAGUCCAUUAUUUCUGUGGACUAAAAUUCCAUUGUCCACUUUCUUUGGAUACCCAACCAGUCCUUGCAGCCUCUAACCUCUUGUCAAUGAAACACAUCCCAGUUUUGGUGUCAUUGGCAGACUUCUGAACCAUGUCCCUUCCAUUUAAAUCUAAAUAAUUACGAGAUCCCCUCUGAGACAUAUUAUGAAGCCCAGUAGGUUUAAAUCUCAAAAGGACAAAUUUAAGAGUCACAAGAACUUACAGCACAUUCACAAUGACACUUGCUCGAUUUGGAGUAAGACAAAGGGGAAAGUCUCAGCAGUAACAUUGAUUAAUAGAGAAAAAGCAAGAAAGGCUAAGUUGGCAGCUUGGAUGCUAGAGAAACAAAAGUGAUCCCAUUUCAGCUUUUGUUUAUCCUAUUGGGUAUGCAACAAGGUAAACAAAAAUUCAGUUUUUGCUCAAGUUUGGUCUUCAUGAGAAUGAUUGAUUUGGGGGUCAGGUGGGGUCACAUUUGAGAAAUAGUAUUUGCCCUGACGAUACUUAAGCAUGGAACUACUUCCUGCAACUGAAAUGGAAGUUCCAUGGGAAAUUUUUACUUGGACCAAGAGCAUGGAUACCACUGUCAAAGGUUAUUUCUGAGAUUUGCCAAAGAUGUGAAUAAACUGUUUAUCUUUGAAGAAUGUAAUGAAAUAAUUUUGAUUUGUCCAUUGACUGGCAUGGAUAUAUUUGUGUAGUAGUUAGAAAUCACACUGCAAGAGUAUUGGAGUUUGAAAGGAUUGGGCUGCAGAAUGUACUGUGUGGUUUCAUCUUUUUUGCCCACUUUGAAGAAGUUUUCCAGUCUUGUCUCCAUUUUACUACUCCACUGCAAAGUCUCCAAGCUAUGCCCACUUCGAAGAAGCUUUUCAUACUUUUCUGUUGGAUUUCACCUCCAAUAUUUUUGAUUUUUCUCUUCAUCUUGAUCUGAGUUUCUUUUAACAGGAUUCGGUUGAUUUUUAAUGUACACCAUGUGCUUGAAGAGGGAGGAUGUGUAAUCUACACCAUGUCCUUGGGGAUAUCCUCUGAAUAUGGAUUACCUUGUAAACAUCUAAAAGGUUGCUUCUUAACAAUGUGUUAAUACAGUUGCUUUUCUCCAGACAGACCAACUUUUUCAGUUAAGCACAAUCUGGUUGUUUUCAUUCAAAUUGUUUGAUUUCAGUAAGCAAGAACCACUGGAUUGCUGAAAUUGGCUAGAUUUUAUUUGCAAGAUGUGGGGAGUUCUUUUUAAAGUGGAUCUUUAAGAAAUAAGGAUUUGUUUCUCUGUAACAGAUUGAUUUUAUUUUCUGAGUUGGAAAUUGACAAUUGCCAUUUGCAAGAAAGAUUAAACUGGACAGUAACAAAACAAUAUAACCAUUGUUCUGGUGUUAGUUUAAACAUUGGAUUAACAUGAUGUAAAUAACUUUCAUUCAUUUGACUUUAAAAUAUCCAUUUCAUAAUGUUAACAUCACAAACCUUAGAGCAUCAAAAAUGCUGACGUAUAAUAGAUGCAUCUGCAUGGGAUUUCUCCAGUAAUUUGGCUGAAUACCAUAGUAUUGGGCAUUAGCUUGUAACAAUAUCAUUUAAGGUAUGUAUAUGGCUGUUAAAUAAAAAGAACUAUUACUAAAAGUGGAGAGAGAGGAAACUGAUUCUGCCGUUGGUAGGAAAAACGUAUGUAUGUUGGACUUUAAAUUUAAUAUUAUGGGAGCUCAUUCGUGUGUAAAGUGUCCAUAAAUUGGGUGUUGGUAACCUGGGGACAGCCUGUACUGGUAAUUAUCUCAAUGUAUUUUCAGAUUUUGAUUGCUGCUUUUGUAGCAUAAAAAUUGAUGCAAGCUCACAAACUUAAUUUAACAUAACAUUUACUUUUAUUUGAGUCUUUGAAUAACUUGCAAUUAGUUGUGCUGUUAAUUAAAUAAAAAUUUCGUGCAUUUUUUCACUGUACCGUGUCUUUACUUUCUCCGACCACGUACCAUUUCGAUAUUUUAGCAUACAAGCAGAGAAAGCCUAUCCAUUUACUGCUGUUGCGUACUGAAUUGGAAAUUGAACUGAAUCAAUAGGGUAAUAUUGUGAUUAAUGUUUCUGGCCAAAGCCUAAAUUGGCCAGCAACAAUUCCAGUGGACGCGUCGUCCACUCUGCAGCCAGCCAUCUGCGUGUUCUCAAUUCACAGGGGAACAUGUACAUCUUAGGCAAAUUACUGUUACUCCCUAUAUGGAGUUAAUAUAGAUGUGGUUUUGGUGAAUUGUUUUUUCCAGUAAACUUAAUUUUGGGGGGAAAUGCGUUUAUUUUUGCGGGUGUAGCUUUGAGAGCGACUGCCUCUUCUUGUUGAAAACGCGCAACUACACCAGUUCCGGUUUUGUGAAUGGAGUAAAGAAUCUGCGAAGCGGUCAACCACUGGAAAUGUGUCGUCUGCCAAGAAUCUUUCCCUUUGAGGAACGUAACGGACGUUUAUAUCAAAGUUGUUGCCUUUUACGUUAAUUGUACGUUUUGUUUACUGACAAGUUCAUAGUUACUCGGAAGCUAUUUUCUUGAUUUAAAUGUUUUUCCUACUUAAGUGCUUGA